rnacentral:rRNA from 1 species
UACGUAGGGUGCAAGCGUUGUUCGGAAUUACUGGGCGUAAAGGGAGCGUAGGCGGAGUUGUAAGUUAGGAGUUUAAUCCUCGGGCUUAACCCGAGUUUGGCUUUUAAUACUGCGAUUCUUGAGUAUUGGAGAGGAUGAUGGAAUUCCAGGUGUAGCGGUGGAAUGCGUAGAUAUCUGGAAGAACACCAGUAGCGAAGGCGGUCAUCUGGCCAAAUACUGACGCUGAGGCUCGAAAGCUAGGGGAGCAAACAGG